GACAGAGGCCUCGAGCGUUUAGGCGGAAUCACUGGGCUUAAAGCGUGUGUAGGCGGAUCGUUAAGUGCCUUGUGAAAUCCCACGGCUUAACUGUGGAACGGCUGGGCAUACUGGCGGUCUUGAGCCAUCUAGGGGCGACUGGAACAAACGGUGGAGCGGUGAAAUGCGUAGAUAUCGUUUGGAACGCCAAUGGUGAAAACAGGUCGCUGGGGAUGAGCUGACGCUGAGACACGAAAGCCAGGGGAGCAAACGGGG
rnacentral:rRNA from 1 species